rnacentral:rRNA from 1 species
UACCAGCUCUCCGAGUGGUGUGGAUGUUUAUUGGGCCUAAAGCAUCCGUAGCUGGCUGGGCAAGUCCCCUGUUAAAUCCACCGAUUUAAUCGUUGGUGUGCGGGGGAUACUGUUCGGCUAGGGGACGGGAGAGGCCGACGGUAUUUUCGGGGUAGGGGUGAAAUCCUAUAAUCCCGGGAAGACCACCAGUGGCGAAGGCUGUCGGCUAGAACGCGCCCGACGGUGAGGGAUGAAAGCUGGGGGAGCGAACCGGAUUAGAUACCCGGGUAGUCCCAGCUGUAAACGAUGCAGGCUAGGUGUUUGGGCGGCCACGUGCCGCUCUAGUGCCGCAGAGAAGUCGUUAAGCCUGCCGCCUGGGGAGUACGGCCGCAAGGCUGAAACUUAAGGAAUUGGCGGGGGAGCACCACAAGGGGUGAAGCUUGCGGUUU